UGGAUGAUGUGGUUUAAUUCGAUGCAACGCGAAAACCUUACCCACCUUUGACAUGUACGGAACCCUCUAGAGAUAGAGGGUGCUCGAAAGAGAGCCGUAACACAGGUGCUGCAUGGCUGUCGUCAGCUCGUGUCGUGAGAUGUUGGGUUAAGUCCCGCAACGAGCGCAACCCUUGUCAUUAGUUGCUACAUUCAGUUGGGCACUCUAAUGAGACUGCCGGUGACAAGCCGGAGGAAGGUGGGGAUGACGUCAAGUCCUCAUGGCCCUUAUAGGUGGGGCUACACACGUCAUACAAUGGCUGGUACAAAGGGUUGCCAACCCGCGAGGGGGAGCCAAUCCCAUAAAGCCAGUCGUAGUCCGGAUCGUAGUCUGCAACUCGACUACGUGAAGUCGGAAUCGCUAGUAAUCGUGGAUCAGAAUGUCACGGUGAAUACGUUCCCGGGUCUU
rnacentral:rRNA from 1 species